rnacentral:rRNA from 1 species
GAUGAACGCUGGCGGCGUGCCUAAUACAUGCAAGUCGAGCGAACAGACGAGGAGCUUGCUCCUCUGACGUUAGCGGCGGACGGGUGAGUAACACGUGGAUAACCUACCUAUAAGACUGGGAUAACUUCGGGAAACCGGAGCUAAUACCGGAUAAUAUAUUGAACCGCAUGGUUCAAUAGUGAAAGACGGUUUUGCUGUCACUUAUAGAUGGAUCCGCGCCGCAUUAGCUAGUUGGUAAGGUAACGGCUUACCAAGGCGACGAUGCGUAGCCGACCUGAGAGGGUGAUCGGCCACACUGGAACUGAGACACGGUCCAGGCUCCUACGAGAGGCAGCAGUAGGGAAUCUUCCGCAAUGGGCGAAAGCCUGACGGAGCAACGCCGCGUGAGUGAUGAAGGUCUUCGGAUCGUAAAACUCUGUUAUUAGGGAAGAACAAAUGUGUAAGUAACUAUGCACGUCUUGACGGUACCUAAUCAGAAAGCCACGGCUAACUACGUG